rnacentral:rRNA from 1 species
GACGAACGCUGGCGGCGUGCUUAACACAUGCAAGUCGAACGGAAAGGCCCUGCUUUUGUGGGGUGCUCGAGAGGCGAACGGGUGAGUAACACGUGAGUAACCUGCCCUUGACUUUGGGAUAACUUCAGGAAACUGGGGCUAAUACCGGCUAGGAGCUCCUGCUGCAUGGUGGGGGUUGGAAAGUUUCGGCGGUUGGGGAUGGACUCGCGGCUUAUCAGCUUGUUGGUGGGGUAGUGGCUUACCAAGGCUUUGACGGGUAGCCGGCCUGAGAGGGUGACCGGCCACAGUGGGACUGAGAUACGGCCCAGACUCCUACGGGAGGCAGCAGUGGGGAAUAUUGCACAAUGGGCGGAAGCCUGAUGCAGCAACGCCGCGUGCGGGAUGACGGCCUUCGGGUUGUAAACCGCUUUCACCUGGGACGAAGCGUGAGUGACGGUAAUGGGUAAAGAAGCACCGGCUAACUACGUG